GAAGCAAACAGAAGUCUUUUUGAUUUAUCUGCCUCAUUCCGUGAUGUUGUCACUUCCACGUGCAACAUCGUAUUUUACUCAACCUGAGAGUAAUCCUUUGGAUUUAUCGCAAACCAUGAAAGAGGAUGAAGCAUUGGAUCUGUCAACGAAACAGUAUAGGAGUAGCAGUGACAUGGAUUCUCCAAUCAAUUUAGCUGUGUUGAAAGUUCAACGGCAGGGCGUAGAAGUAUCUGGCGAUAGGCCUUUAAAUUUAAUAACAGCUAGCAACAUUGCAACCUCCUCUAGUCAUUGCAAAAGAUUUUCGAAAGAAUUAGUAGUUCCGAGCACACUCAAAGUUAUAGAGAAUACAACCGCUAAGCCGAAUUCCAUCAACUCAUCUGCUAGUUGUCAAAAUUUAGCAUUAAACACAUCGAAGUUUGCAAUUUCCGUAUUACCGGACACACAAUUUUUGGAUACAAGUUUGAAAAACAAAACUGACAGCGAAAGAAACGAUGAGACUGAUGACGAUGAUAGUGUUGAUAUGCCAUUAGGUGAUGCAUCAUUGCUGAACGACCUUUCUAUAUUCGAGUACUUCGAACCGUACCAGCAUAUAUCUAUUUUAGAAGAGGAAAUUGUUCAUGUGGCCAAUGAAACCGAAAUUGAGAAAGAAAAACGAAUGCUAAGAAAGCGACCGUAUACAACAACAAGGCUGCCCAGAUCACCAUUACUAGAAAAUGGGUAUAGGGUUAUAUGAUGUAUAUAACAACACGGAUAUUUUCAUUAAUAUGGUGGCCACAGAUGAUUUGGAAAAGAAAAAUUUCAUCCGUAAAAAAAAUGCAGAAAGUGAAAUUGUGAAAAAUAAAAAUCUUAAAACAAGGGGCUUGCGAUAUGAAUGUACAAACGGUAGUACAAGCGCCGUUCGAAGCAUUAGAGAGAGCUGCCACUGUUCAAAGCUUAAAUGCUACGAAAAAUACAGCGACAAGCUUAGAGAACAAUUGCUGAAACAUUUUCUUAUGCUAACCAUCUCUGCCCAGAAUCAGUUUCAGGCAAAUCAUAUCUCAGUUUCACAUGUUAGCCGCCACAGGGUUACUAAUUCAACAAGAGAGAUAACUCGAGUGUAUUUCUUGCCUGGAGGAAAAGGUAUGGUAAAAGUUGUGAAAACCAUGUUUUUAGCGACGUUCGACAUAAAAAGCAAAAAAGUUCGGAUCAUUGCAUCAAAGUUGGUUAACGGCAUGUGCAUUGCGCAGGAUGCCCAACACUCCCACAAUUGCAAUCGAAACCUCUGAACUGCGGAACCUCCUCCCAUUUGUAAGCAACAAGCAACAUUAUGAGGUGAUGCUUAAAAAUUUAGUGGUUAAAAAGCGUGGACGAAAAAAGUUAAGUAAAUGCGACGAUCAUUUCGAAGAUGAUAUGGACAGGCUUGAGGAAGAAUAUAUAAAAUGAAUAUAUCCGUGUACUUACGUAAAAACUUUAUUAUAAAAAUCAUUAAAAAUAAUUAGUAUGGAUAUUC